rnacentral:rRNA from 1 species
UACAGAGGGGGCAAGCGUUGUUCGGAAUUACUGGGCGUAAAGGGCGCGUAGGCGGCCCGCUAAGUCGAACGUGAAAUCCCCGGGCUCAACCCGGGAACUGCGUCCGAUACUGGCAGGCUUGAAUCCGGGAGAGGGAUGUGGAAUUCCAGGUGUAGCGGUGAAAUGCGUAGAUAUCUGGAGGAACACCGGUGGCGAAGGCGGCAUCCUGGACCGAGAUUGACGCUGAGGCGCGAAAGCCAGGGGAGCAAACGGG